rnacentral:lncRNA from 1 species
CAUUCCCUGCCUGCCUGCCCCCAGCCAGUUCCCUGCCCUGGGGCCGAUCAGACCAGCACCCCCCAGAGGGGACAGGCUGUAUACGUCAGUUCUCUUUCCCAGGAGCCAUCUGGUCCCCCUAGACUGGCCAGCAGCAGGGGGAUGUGGCUGCAGACUCUAGCGAGCGGGGUGGGAGCUGUGGAGGGGGGUCUGCAUUAGCACAGGGCUAGGACCCAAGCCCCCCUCACCAAGGGAUCAGUCCCCCUGCCCCCCCCCCGACUUUUCAGCAGCAAUUUCCCCUUGCCAUGCAGGAAAAAGAAAACCAGAGAUUGGCUGAGACCAUUCAGGAGCUGGAGGGAAAGAGGCAACUGUGGGAUGUGGAGGCCAAACGCCAGGCGAAGGCCGACAGGAUCCGGGAGAAGCAGCGACACGUGGAGGAGCUGAGCGGGACCAUCCGGGGACUUGCUCGAAGGACUCAGGUAUGUCCUGUCCCACCCCCGGGAUUGAAUCCAGCUGGGGUCCAGGGAGCCUCACCUGGGUCAGAACAAUCCACCUUGGGCUGCAGGGCCCAGAUCCUUCCUAGGCUCCUAACUUCCCAAUUCCGGGGGAGGAUCCUGAGCUUGGGAAAGCAGCUGCUUCCGGGCUUGCAAAACCCAAAUUCCUUCCGCUGCCAGGUAUCGUGGUCCUGGGCUGGGGCUCGGGACACUGGGCCCUGUUCCCUGUUGGGAGACCUUGGGCACGACGCGGCCCUGAUCUCGUUCGGGGUCUGGGCAGCACCCGUCACGAUGGGGCCCUGAUCUCAGUUGGGGUCUGGGCAGUGCCCUGUGCAAUGGGGCCCUGAUCUCGUUCGGGGUCUGGGCAGCACCCGGCAUGACAGGGCCCUGAUCUCAGUUGGGGUCUGGGCAGUGCCCUGCACGAUGGGGCCCUGAUCUCGUUCGGGGUCUGGGCAGUGCCCUGCGCGAUGGGGCCCUGAUCUUGUUAGGGGUCUGGGCAGCGCCCGGCGCGAUGGGGCCCUGAUCUGGGUCGGGGUCUGGGUAGCGCUUGGCACGGG